AACGAACGCUGGCGGCAUGCCUAACACAUGCAAGUCGAACGAGACCUUCGGGUCUAGUGGCGCACGGGUGCGUAACGCGUGGGAAUCUGCCCUUGGGUUCGGAAUAACAGUUGGAAACGACUGCUAAUACCGGAUGAUGACGUAAGUCCAAAGAUUUAUCGCCCAAGGAUGAGCCCGCGUAGGAUUAGCUAGUUGGUGAGGUAAAGGCUCACCAAGGCGACGAUCCUUAGCUGGUCUGAGAGGAUGAUCAGCCACACUGGGACCGAGACACGGCCCAGACUCCUACGGGAGGCAGCAGUGGGGAAUAUUGGACAAUGGGCGAAAGCCUGAUCCAGCAAUGCCGCGUGAGUGAUGAAGGCCUUAGGGUG
rnacentral:rRNA from 1 species